AAUCAACGCUGGCGGCGUGCCUCAGACAUGCAAGUCGAACGCGAAAGUCCCCUUCGGGGACGAAGUAGAGUGGCGCACGGGUGAGUAACACGUAGGUAAUCUACCUUCGGAUGGGGAAGUAACAAUCGGAAACGGUUGCUAAUACCGCAUAAUGCAGCGGCACCUAAUGGUGACAGUUGUUAAAGCGGGGGAGUCGAGAGACCUCGCGUCUGAAGAGGAGCCUGCGGCGGAUUAGCUAGUUGGUAAGGUAACGGCUUACCAAGGCGACGAUCCGUAGCGGCCUGAGAGGGCGGUCGGCCACACUGACACUGACAUACGGGUCAGACUCCUACGGGAGGCAGCAGUCGGGAA
rnacentral:rRNA from 1 species